CUGGUGGAGCUUCAGUCGUUGGACGAGCACUUCGACCUGGCGAAAUUCGAAAGAAACAAUAAUCAAAGUUGCGGCAGAGCAUUCCACGAUAUCCAAACCUUCCACAGUUUAGUGCCCGGUUUGGAGACCUAGAAGGGAGCCUCGUGCCUCGAGCAACCUCCUCUCGUUGUGUCUGGCUCGACGGAGAAUCACGACCACGACAACGACGACGAUGCGGGUAGACGGCUUCGCGGCACACACGAGGAACCACGGCGAGGAUGAACCUGGACUGGAAGGUGAACAAUACUGCUACUGCCGCCGUCUUGCGGCAGCCAUGAUUCCCGGCUCGAUCGGUGCACCACAGUCGCGCGAUCACUUAAGUAUUGAUCGGGGCAAACUCGGUCGGUACGGACGCGGAGGAUGCCUUUCCUACCGAACAGGAUCGAACGAAGGAGGGCCCCUUUCCGAUCAGCUGCAACUUCGAACCAACGCGCAGUUCGAGGAUACAGCUGUGCGGCCUAGCCUGCAACCACCAUGGAGUCGAUCGUGCUUUUCUGUCCUUGCGAUUCGCAUGAUCGGUGCGGUCGACCAGACGAAACGUGCAGGAAAGAAAAACUGUUCGAGAACGAGACUAUAAACCCGAAUCGUGUUUUCGGUUAUGGGACAUGAAUCAAGGACAUUGCGAAAUAUUUUCGUUGUACGUACAGACUGUUACCAACGUUGGUAUCGAAUCACGUAGGCGUCCUUUGGAUAUUUGAUGCAGGAGAGUGCACUACGUUUCUUCGAACAUCAAUCGUGUAAAUUUGAAAAUUUUUAAAGCUUGUUCGAAGCGUCGACGAUUUGAUAAUCGUUGUGGCAUGUACAUUUGAUAAUCGAGGACGUUCUCCUGCAUCGACGGUUCGCGUAUGGAAGCCUACCGUGCCGGUAUACGUACCAAGAUGUCCCUGAAACACGUAUUACCUUACGUAAUUUGUAUAUAUUCGAGUACGUUCGUACGAGCACAUUAACGAUAUACCAUAGAUCAAUUUGUAGCGAAAAAUUCACGGAGAAAGUAAACGCUGAGAAACGAGAAGAACGAACACACCGAAUGAGACGUGCGUGUAUAAAUGCCUUUAGAGUAGCUGUGAAUCGAUGUAAAAGUGAGGUACGGUUGAGGUUCGGUGAAAGAACAAAAUCGGAUGAAUUUACUACCGCGACAAUGCCACAAUGGGCCUUCAAUUUCUAUUUAAGAUAUUUCCUUCGUUCACGAACGACUAGAUUUUCGAAAACGAUUCGAAAUUUUCGUUCUCCUGUUAUCAGGAAAUAAUCGAUGAACAGCAACGUUGUAAUCGGCUCGUUAAUGGCUCGACUUCCUCGUUCUUUUGCGGAUCGUUUGUUUCUCGCGACGAAUUUUUCCUUCUUAACUUUAUAUUUUAUUUUAACGACGAAUCGCGUUCGCCCAUUUGUUCGACAGUUUCGAAUUUUUGUUACGCGACGACACGCGACUUGUACGAUUUGUAUACACGAUCCUGUAAAUAUAACGUAUUGUUUCUUAACGCGAAUAAGUUCAAUUCGAUGAGCUGCAUACAUGCAUGCUAGGCUACCCUCGAUGAAAACCUGCAAUAGCCAAAAUUAAUUUUUAUGCCAACACAUUGAAUAUUUAAUUCGAAUAACCUAUGAAGCCUAGCGUUCACGGCACCGUACGAAUCAGUGCUGUCUACAAAAUGGCUCCCUACGCUGUUCUCGCGCCAUUUCCUCCUUACUACGUUCUUCCUAGGAUCACUUCCUAGACGCCUCUUACGUUCCACAGAAUCUAGGUUAGCUCCUGAAUCUUCUACCUCCUCAUUGCUAUCCCAAGUACAUUCUAAGGCUCAAGAUAGAGAUGUUAUCUAUAAACAAUAAGAUCGUUAAGAUAUCUCUGAAUAAACAAGGUGUAGAAUAUAAUGGGUAACAAAUUGUUCUCUGGAAUUAGGUUAGAACAGUCAAAAUUACCAAGUCGACACGUUGCAUUCUACUCCAUGUUGACAUCGAUGAGAUAUCGGUAAUGUAUCGAUUAUCGAUAACAGCCUCUAAUGUUACCUUACAUUGUAAGGUUAACAAGAUGCAGCACUGUUCACCAACAUCCGGUGCCUUUCAGUUCCUUUUACGUCUUCAUUUUCACCAGAUUUGCAAACUGUAAUUUAUCUGGUGAAUAUCCCUACAUUGUACUAGCAAUUUCCAAUGACUUACGUAUACGGGGAUCCUUGACGGUUAUAGACAGCACUGCCCUAAUUUGUCAACGGUCCGUUCGAACGAUGUCAAGUAUGCAGCUCUGUUUGCAUUCGACUUAAAUCGACCAGUUUUGUAUGUUUAGAAUCGACAGAUCUUGCGUCGUUUCCACCGAGAUAACAGUUCAGUGAACCUCUGACGCAUCUAUAAUUUGAUCUUUAAAUCAGUGGUCGAAUAUCGAUAAUCGACGGCGGCACGGUGUCGAGGCGCCAUCUGGAGCAACGAGCAGAAAUUUACAUAUUAUCGAACGCGUUUGUGAAAUCGAUUACCGGGAAAAGCGUGGAAACGAUGUAAAGAGAAAUCCAAUCUUCCUUUCGAUCGAUUGAACCAGAGGGAAAUCUUUCCAGGUUAUCUCGCGAUUACUAAAGAUCGAUUCUCGAUUCGUGGUUCAAUUCGCACUGUAAAUAGCUACGUUAGCACCCUUCAAGUAACUAGUUAUGUAUAAAGUUUCGUACGUUGUUUAGGUUUUUAGUACUAGUUAUCCGAGAUCAGUUACCAAUUAUACGAACAAAUUGCAAAUAUACCGAAAAAAGUAUAAAUCUGAACAAUUUAUCUACCUUUCCCCCACAUCCAUCGAGAAGUUUGUUUGAACGAGAAAGAAUUUUCGAGUAGAUUUUUUUGGUACUUUUUUAUUAAGUGUUGCGAAUAUAUAUACAAAGGAUGGCGAACUAACAAUAAUAAUUAUUAUAUUAGAACCAAAUAAACAAAGGUUAUCAUGACAGUAUUAACGUGUGUUAAUAUUCGUUUAAAUAACAUAAAUGGUUGCAACGGUGUGUGUCGAAUUUUCAAAAAGACGUUGGUCAGUGCGUACGCCGUAGGCGUCUCAUUGUCAUCCGUUUGUUAUGCGCACGCACGCAUGCGCGCGCACGCGUAUGUAAUUGCUUUCAUACUAUAUCGAUAUCGGCUCCACAACACUCGAUUCUCGACGAGAUGAUUCGAUAUGGGAGUCGUUAUCGUGUCAAUAAUUAUUAUUAUUAUUAUUAUUAUUAAAACAGUUAUGUUCGAUAAUAAUAACGAAUCCACCAAACGUUCGCUCGAGUCGGAUCGAUAUAAAUCGAUGUUCAUUCGCUUCUCCCUCGAAAAUGAGGGUAAUUCGUAUUUUCAAUUAGAAACGAUAAGUUAGAAUUAAAAAAAAAAAAUAAUAAUAAACGAUUACUACCCGAUUAGUAUUUGUAUGCCUUUUUUCUCUACGACGCAGUAUCGUGCCACGUUUUCACGCGAACGAAUCAUGAUCGUGUUAUCAACGAAUUGCAAAUCGACGUGUUUCGUUGGAGUAUUAAAAAGUGCAAAAUUUUCUAGCGUUUACGGCUCGUGAUAUUUGUGCGUUUAAAUCGCGAAUACGUUUGGAACGCGAUCACGGAGCUAGGAUUCAAAACGUUGCGAUUAAUUGACGCAGAUACAAAAUCGUGUAAAAAAAUGUGAACACUUUUUCCGAGUCGUCGAUCGAUCGAUAUAUUUCACAAAUAUUCUCGAACUAUCGACGAGGAUUGUUGGAUUUGCAAUCGCGAGAACUUUCCAACCGAUUCGCAAUUUCCCCUUUUUCUUAUACGUACAUUACGUCACUUUUCAGCUGAGAUGUUAACCGUUAAUUUUGGUGGACUUGCUCGAGAGACGUCACACGGAACGAGUCGAUUUGUGUACAUCGUAAACUUCGAGUAUCGACCAAUUCCGUGUAUUCGAUCGUGAAGUUCCACGAAGUGAAAUACGAUAACACGAUGUGUUCGCUCCUUAACAAAAAAUACAUUGAAAUUUAUAUUCGUGGCAUCGAGAAAGACUGCCGUAACCGUGCAUGAUUUUCCUUCUUUUACUUUUUUUUUUAUUGCUUUUCCCCCUUUUCAUUACUAAUAUUAAUGACCACGAUUCACGUAUCGUCUAAUAAAAUAUCUUUUCUAAGUAAAGCGAUUGAUCGUCCGGCGCACUUUAGCUUCUGUCGCUUUUCCUGUCCUUGUUUGUCGUUCGCCAAAAAAAAUAUUUCUUAGCUGCAGGAGCGUUGAAUGAUCUUUUUUUCUCGAAAGUGGGAACGCUAUCGAUUCAAUGUUCCGAUAUAUUGAAAUGGCACUCGACAAAAAUUCUAGUACAGUCGGUAAUUUAUUAUCAUAUAGCAUUCCGAUCGAUAACGAAGAUAUAAUAGCUAAAAAGAAAAACUGAAAAGAAUCUAUCGAUACAUCUAUGAACAAAGUGUCGUUCGUUGGUCGAUAAGUAUGCUCUCGAUUGUUUCUUCGAUGUUUACGCGCAUGCGCAGUAUAGACCUGUCAGAAACUGCACUAAGCUUCCCAGGAAAAAUUCUGACUGAGAGAAGUUCCACUACUUUUUAAUUCCCAAUUUUCCUACAACGAAAAAACUUAAUUUAAAGAUCUGAAAAUACAAGCACAUUGGAUCAGUAGUGGAAGGUCUCUUGUCGUAAUCCGAAGGAAGCGUCGGAAUGUGUAAAUCGUCAAAAGUUUGUCAGAAAAGUUUGAGAAAAAAAUGGAAAGUUUCGAACGCGUUCCUUUAACAAAAAUCAUUCCACGUUUCCUGCAUCCAUCUUCCUCAUUUCUGCCUACAAUAAUUACACUUUUCUUUUAAUCACAAAAAUAGAAUUCUUAAAACUUAAACUCAGUUCACUCACACUGUUCGCGCGCGCUUUCUCCGCUUUUUCUUUUGUUUCCCUCCCCCCGUUUUAGUAUUUCCACACUUCCGUGUAUCUUGAUACGCGCACGCGCACACACAUCACGCACACACUCACAGAGGCAAUUUAUUUGCUGAGAAGUAUGCAGUUAGCGUUGACAAACUAGUUGUUGCGUUAUCAUACAUAUAUCGAUCGAAGAAUCGUUUUGACGUUCGAUCGAUUCGUAACUUGAUUCGAUAGUUUAAGAAAAAGGUGCAUUUAACUUUGACCGACGCAAGAUGAUGUAGCAACGACGAUAAAUAAUAUUCGAAUCUAAUGGAGAAGAAAAUUAUGCAAGUUUUAACACAGAAUCGAUAUACAGGUUAUACAAUAAACAUACAUCGAUUAAACAUUAAAAGAAGUGCGAAAUAAAAGAAAUUAACCCUAAAAGUUCGCAGGCUCAGCAGGUAAGAGAAAGAAGGAAAAUUUGACGCGCUCAAACGAAGGAACCAUUUCUCGAUUCUUCGAGAUGUCUCUCUGAUACUCUGUCCACGAAUCAUGUAACAAAGAACGGCUUUAACAAUUAUUCUACAAUAACGAUUAUAAAACUAUAUUUUCGUGUUCCUUGUUUUAGAGUCGAGGAAAGAAAGAAGAAAUGAAGCGAAAGGGUUGAGACUUCAAUCGUCGUCGCAGCAAGCUAAUAUAUAUAUAUGUGUGUAUACAUACACAUAUACGAAAAUAAAUAAGGAACAGUGAUUCUCGGUACGAGACAUUGAAAUCACCAUUCGUAAACAAUCUUCUCGCACUCGUUCACACACAACACACACAUGUAACACAUACAGGCGCGCAGAAAGCAGAAACAGAAGAAAUUCAUCAACAACCUUGUUGUCAAUCAUCGAUUUACUAUUUAGAAAUACAUUCGACACGCGCUGCACACAGCUCAGUAAAUACCAUCUCGUAAAUUCAGACGCUAUCAUCUGUCGAUAACAAUAAUUACAUAUACCAUCGAUACUCGUCGAUCGGUGAUUCGCAUUUUUCUUUAGUUUGAUAUACAUAUAUUUAUAUUUAUAUAUAUAUAGAUAUAUCAAAAAUAUCCUUAAUAAAAUAGAGCAUUUUAAUAUGUAUAACGUACCGUCAAGUACUGUUUUGUAUCAUAAUUUUAUCCACUAUAUAUAUAUUUUUUUUUUAUAAGGUUUAGUAUUAUAUAUAUUUUUUUAAUAUACAUACAAUACUCACGCAGAUACUCUUUCCUAUCACGCGUACGCGCAACUCACAAUAUACACACGGUUACCGUGCACCAUCCGUGUAUGUAAAUGUGUGUGUAUGUGUAUGUGUGUGUUCUCAUUUACAUGCCGCCACGUGAACGUUUUUCCAGAUUAGAUUACAACGCAGGCUCUUUCGUUGGAGCUGCGUUAUGCGACCGUUUCAGAUUCUUAAUCAUUCGCAAACAAUUUGAUUGUCUAGAUGUACAAAUCUUGCUUCAAAAAUUCUAACGUUUUUCGUUUCAGAUCCGAUGGAGAGAGACGAACCGUUGAAGAAUUUACACACCGGUGAGGGCCAGUUUUCAGAAACAAUGAAUAUACAACGAAAUGCUUUCGUUUGGAAAUUGAUCAAUUUAACUCUUCCUACAUUGCUAUUUCCCUAGGGAUACACAGAACCGUGUAAGAACUUGUGAAAUAGCAAUUUUUUAACAGAAUAUUCACCACAGCCCACGUUAAGUAUCUUUAACAAAACUUUUUGCUCCUGAACCGAUUUCUUUCACUGUUUAGUGCUAUUUUUUGGUGAACGUGUAACUAGUGCAUAGGCGAACAGUCGAUGCAAACAUGUAUAAAGAAAGAUGAACGAUAAGCGUUACAGAAAAUAAUUCCCGAGACUGAGGUAAUCGGUUCAAGAGCAACCUCCGUUUCCAGAGGAUUCAACGGAUAACAGUCUCUCUUUUACAGUUUUCCAUCACGCGAGAACGUGAAAAUCUAAUUUACAUUUGCCCUCUCUCUCACUUUUAAACUAUUUACAAUCAAUAAUGUUCUACUAAGGCAAUUACUCUCGCGACGACGCAUCAAUCGAAUGGUAUCCGAAAGAGAACGAGGAAUUCUCUCUUAAAUUUCCUUCAUGCAGGAUCAUUUUCACGUGGCGACCAUGCAAACGCACGAAGAAGUAGAAAAGGUCUUCCUACAUAUACACAUAUAUGCGUGCAUACAUGUAUAUCUCUUCAUGCUCGUACAUUCACUCCAAAGAAGCUCGAAAUCUCAAACCUCUCUUGAACUAGCGAAUCGUUAUUCGACUUGAUAGUGGAAUCCUACUAAAUUCGUCGUGGCGUAUCUAGAAAUUGAAUUAUUAUUCAAUGAUGAUAAAAUAAUAAAAUAAUAAUAAUAAUAAAAUAAUAGUAGCAGUAAUAGUAGUAAUAAUAAUUGGUUACCAACUAGAAAUAAUUAUCAGUUAUGUACAGUGUAGUAUAAUGAUUAUAGUAACGUAAUAAAUAAGCUCGAGGCAUGUAAGCCUACAAUCUACUCGUAA
rnacentral:misc_RNA from 1 species